rnacentral:lncRNA from 1 species
CAAAAUAAUACUUGAGAUCAAAAUGACAGAGUAAUGAUCAGCAGCAAAAUACAGACUCUCUGGGACCUUGAAUCCAGACACACAGAAAAUAACAACUUGGAAAAGAGAAAAAGAAAAGCGUUAGAUCUCCAGGAAUUGGAAAGAAACUGAACAUUAGAAACUGCAGAGAAGCUGGACUAAUGGAGCACAAUGCAGAGGAAAGAAUGAAGCAAACGGGAGAGCUCACUCUGGCUCCUGGGGAGAGGAACCUAUCUCUACAGACACAAGCUUUUGCCAGUUUCCUUGCCAUCAUGUGCUGCAUCCUGUUGUCCAUUCAUCAUAGGAACCACCCCAGGCCACAUAACCUGUGCUAACACUGUCGCAGUGGAGUGACUCGGAUCAGAGGGUCACUAGCUAAGUGCACAUCGUAUAAUAUUAUGAGAACCUCCUGACAAAACACGAAGGCCAGGUGACAAGUAUGUCCUGCCAAAAGAGCCAGGAAAGCAGAACACACGUGCUAUCAGUGUAAGCGAGACUUGUGUGUGGAACAUGGUGUUUUCAUAUAUGAAAAAAAUCCCCUAGGUGUGAUAAUUGAAGUGAAGAUUAUUUCUGUGGUACAAAAAUAUUUGUAUUUUCAUUGUAGUUCACAAAGG